GGCCGGUCGUGGUGGUUGGACUCCGAACCCAACGGGGGUCAGACAGAAGCCGAACCCGACGCUCCUCAUCCAAGACGUCCUCAUUGCCAACCCAUCCAUGACAGAACUGAGAGCGAUGGGAGGCACGAGCAUCCACGGAGCGACAUGUGUUGGCAGAGGGACCGUCAACAAAGACCACGUCGUGACAGAGACCAGAGAGUAUCAAGACCAGACCAGACCAGCAAACCUCCCACUGCGUGACCCAGGAAGACAUCUGGAACAUGCACAUCUUAGGCACACUUCAAACUGAUCAGAAAUAACCAAAUUCACAUAAAAACUAAUAAUAAUCCUCA